UCAUCUACAAAAACUAAAUUGCUUUUGCAUUGACAGGUGAUGCCUGCACAGACUGUUGCACUUCCUCCACCAAAGCCAGCCCUUGGGAGCAUGUUGAUCCCGGCGUAUCGCUCAGCUCACAUCCGCUAACAACCACCAUUUCUGCUGAAGGUAAUAUGCAGGUGUGUCGUGGGAGAAUUUCAUUUUUUUCUUAACCCCCCAAUCAAUUAGACAAUCAGAGCGUAGUUUAUGAGGGCAUUCAACAGGCACUUUUGUGUCACCACCUCCAUGCAGCAUUGCACUUGGUUAGUAAGGAGCCAGUGUGUGCAUCUAUUAGUGAGUGGAGGGCUGCGUAAAGGGCGCCAUGCAUAGCUCACUUUGUUCUUAUAAAUAUUUCACGAUACACUUAUGUCACACAUGACAAUCGAAGGUUCCAUUUUCAUGCGUUUCUGCGUUCCUCUUGAAGUCCCACACCAACCAUCUUUUGAUCUAUUUUGAUAGCUCUAUGUAUGUACCGUAAAUUUCUUUGUUUAAUAGUUGGUCUUCUUUAUUUUAUUUUUUUGUUUUGAUUGCUUGAAAUAAACCAAUUCCAUUCCACUGUAGUUCAAGAAAAACUGCUUCAAGCUCCAGAGCUGCAGUGUGAAGGCAUGCUGAGUUUUUUCUCUCUUUUGAAUUUCCAGUUCAAGCUGGAUCCACAGUCUCCUCUGAGAAAGAGAAGACCGGAAAUAACGGAAAAGGUCCGUCUGUGGUCGGCACCGAGAGGCAGUGCACGGAGCACUUGAGCACUUUCUACUCUGACGAAGAGGAGGUUGAAAUCUACAGAAAAGGUGCUGGGAGUGAGCCGUGCCCCUAUAAAUGGACCCUACAUGGCAACUACUGUUUCUUUCUGUCCACAAUCAGGCUGUCGUGGGAACAAAGUCAAUCAAAAUGCAGCUCAGUCUGUGGAUCUUUGGCUGUUAUCACCAGCCAGGAAGUUCAGGUAAAUCUGAUUAUAUAUUACAUUACAUUACAUAUUAUUUGGGUGAUGUUAGAGUGAGCCAUGAACCUUCUCAACUUUAUCUUCUAGAAUUUUUUGACAAAGAAAGGGAACCUGAUUUACUGGAUCGGACUGAAAAAGCAUCAGUCUGUAUGGCAGUGGGUCAACAACAAAACGCUUGAAAAGAGGUAAAAACAAAAUAACAAAAAAAAA